rnacentral:rRNA from 1 species
UACGUAGGUUGCGAGCGUUGUCCGGAUUUACUGGGCGUAAAGCGCGCGCAGGCGGUCUCGAAAGUCGAAUGUGAAAGCUCCCGGCCCAACUGGGAGAGGCCGUUCGAAACUUCGAGACUUGAAGGCGGGAGAGGCAGAUGGAAUUUCCGGUGUAGCGGUAAAAUGCGUAGAUACCGGAAGGAACACCAGUGGCGAAAGCGAUCUGCUGGCCCGCCCUUGACGCUCAGGCGCGAAAGCUAGGGGAGCGACCGGGAUUAGAUACCCCGUUAGUCCUAGCCGUAAACAAUGGGCACUAGGCGUUGUCGGUAUCGACCCCGGCAGUGCCGAAGCUAACGCAUUAAGUGCCCCGCCUGGGGAGUACGACCGCAAGGUUAAAACUCAAAGGAAUUGACGGGGGCCCGCACAAGCAGCGGAGCGUGCGGUUCAAUUCGAUGGUACGCGAAGAACCUUACCCAGACUUGACAUGCAAGUGGUAGGGACCUGAAAGGGAACCGACCCGCAAGGGAGCUUGCACAGGUGUUGCACGGCUGUCGUCAGCUCGUGUCGUGAGAUGUUGGGUUAAGUCCCGCAACGAGCGCAACCCUCGGGAUCUGUUGUAUCACUCAGAUCCGACUGCCGAGAGAAACUCGGAGGAAGGUGGGGAUGACGUCAAGUCAGCGUGGCCUUUAUGUCUGGGGCUACACGCACGCUACAAUCGCCGGUCACAACGGGUUGCGACACAGCAAUGUGAAGCUAAUCCCCUAAAACCGGCGUCAGUUCAGAUCGAAGGCUGCAACUCGCCUUCGUGAAGUCGGAGUUGCUAGUAACCGCAGGUCAGCACACUGCGGUGAAUAUGUUCCCGGGCCUUGUACACACCGCCCGUCACGUCAUGGGAGUUAGUAACACCCGAAGCCGGUGGGCCAACCGCAAGGAGGCAGCCGUCGAAGGUGGGACUAGCGACUGGGAGG